rnacentral:rRNA from 1 species
UACAGAGGGUGCGAGCGUUAAUCGGAGUUACUGGGCGUAAAGGGCGCGUAGGUGGUGGGAUAUGUGUGAUGUGAAAGCCCUGGGCUUAACCUGGGAAGUGCAUCGCAAACUAUCUGACUAGAGUAUAGGAGAGGGUGGUGGAAUUUCCGGUGUAGCGGUGAAAUGCGUAGAGAUCGGAAGGAACGUCGAUGGCGAAGGCAGCCACCUGGCCUAAUACUGACACUGAAGCGCGAAAGCGUGGGGAGCGAACAGGAUUAGAUACCCUGGUAGUCCACGCUGUAAACGAUGAGGACUAGAUGUUGGAUGGGGAACCAUUCAGUAUCGAAGCUAACGCGAUAAGUCUUCCGCCUGGGAAGUACGGCCGCAAGGUUGAA